rnacentral:rRNA from 1 species
UACCAGACUCCUACGGGAGGCAGCAGUGGGGAAUAUUGGGCAAUGGAGGAAACUCUUACCCAGCAAUGCCGCGUGAAUGAAGAAGGUCUUCGGAUUGUAAAGUUCUUUAAUUGGGGACGAAAAAAAUGACGGUACCCAAGGAAUAAGCCCCGGCUAACUACGUGCCAGCAGCCGCGGUAAUACGUAGGGGGCAAGCGUUAUCCGGAUUUACUGGGUGUAAAGGGAGCGUAGACGGUGAGACAAGUCUGAAGUGAAAGCCCGGGGCUCAACCCCGGGACUGCUUUGGAAACUGCCUGACUGGAGUGCUGGAGAGGCAAGCGGAAUUCCUAGUGUAGCGGUGAAAUGCGUAGAUAUUAGGAAGAACACCAGUGGCGAAGGCGGCUUGCUGGACAGUAACUGACGUUGAGGCUCGAAAGCGUGGGGAGCAAACAGGAUUAGAUACCCUAGUA